GCCGGUCCUCGGUAGUGGCCCUCUGGUGGAAACGCCCCAGAGGACUUCGAUCGAAGACCGGC
rfam:Lechevalieria aerocolonigenes strain NRRL B-16140 contig174.2, whole genome shotgun sequence.